UACGGGGGGUGCGAGCGUUGUCCGGAAUCACUGGGCGGAAAGGGCGCGUAGGUGGCCUGAUAAGGGUGUGGUGAAAGUCCGGGGCUCAACCCCGGAUCUGCCGUGCCGACUGUUAGGCUAGAGUACUGUAGGGGCAGGCGGAAUUCCGGGUGUAGCGGUGAAAUGCGCAGAUAUCAGGAGGAACACCAAUUGCGAAGGCAGCUCGCUGGAACGUUACUGACGCUGAGACGCGAAAGCGUGGGGAGCGAUCCGG
rnacentral:rRNA from 1 species